GUAUGUGGAAGGGUGGGAAGAGUUGAUGAACAUUUCUGAACAUUAUCCGAAGUGUAACCUAUAACUACAUACUUUGACUCGUUCUAUGAUUUGACAAUCAGGUCGUGUAAAGUGGAGGAACUGAGUAGGAACUGGCAAGACAUUCAUCAUGAGCAAGAAUUAACAUAUCUAAUGAAAGAAUGUACCAAACUGGUCAUAGGAAGAGAGCUCCAGGUCAUCUUGCCAAGGAAGAUGUUGCCCAGAACUGGCUGUAAGAAUGGAUACCUGUCAAGCUAACUCCAGAAUCUCAUCUGGAUCAAAUAUUACAGCAUAAGGCCAUUAUACAUGUGGAGUGUGUAACUAAUGAUCCUUAUGGUGAUUUUAGACUCAAAACAUGCCUGGAAACUUCUGUAUCAUUCAACAUAAUACUCAAAGAGGACUAUAAAGAACUCUUUAUCUGAAUGUGCACAGAAGAGAGCUGGACAACUUUGCUUUAAAAGGAUAGUUUUAUACAUCAUCUAUCUGAAAGGAAGCUCUUGCCUCUCUAAAUAUAUAUUAAUAA